rnacentral:rRNA from 1 species
UACGAAGGGAGCUAGCGUUGUUCGGAAUCACUGGGCGUAAAGCGCACGUAGGCGGAUUUGUCAGUCAGGGGUGAAAUCCCGGGGCUCAACCUCGGAACUGCCUUUGAUACAGCAAGUCUUGAGUUCGAGAGAGGUGGGUGGAAUUCCUAGUGUAGAGGUGAAAUUCGUAGAUAUUAGGAAGAACACCGGUGGCGAAGGCGGCCCCACUGGCUCGAUACUGACGCUGAGGUGCGAAAGCGUGGGGAGCAAACAGG